UUAUCGGAGAGUUUGAUCCUGGCUCAGGACGAACGCUGGCGGCGUGCCUAAUACAUGCAAGUCGAGCGGACAGAUGGGAGCUUGCUCCCUGAUGUUAGCGGCGGACGGGUGAGUAACACGUGGGUAACCUGCCUGUAAGACUGGGAUAACUCCGGGAAACCGGGGCUAAUACCGGAUGGUUGUUUGAACCGCAUGGUUCAAACAUAAAAGGUGGCUUCGGCUACCACUUACAGAUGGACCCGCGGCGCAUUAGCUAGUUGGUGAGGUAACGGCUCACCAAGGCAACGAUGCGUAGCCGACCUGAGAGGGUGAUCGGCCACACUGGGACUGAGACACGGCCCAGACUCCUACGGGAGGCAGCAGUAGGGAAUCUUCCGCAAUGGACGAAAGUCUGACGGAGCAACGCCGCGUGAGUGAUGAAGGUUUUCGGAUCGUAAAGCUCUGUUGUUAGGGAAGAACAAGUACCGUUCGAAUAGGGCGGUACCUUGACGGUACCUAACCAGAAAGCCACGGCUAACUACGUGCCAGCAGCCGCGGUAAUACGUAGGUGGCAAGCGUUGUCCGGAAUUAUUGGGCGUAAAGGGCUCGCAGGCGGUUUCUUAAGUCUGAUGUGAAAGCCCCCGGCUCAACCGGGGAGGGUCAUUGGAAACUGGGGAACUUGAGUGCAGAAGAGGAGAGUGGAAUUCCACGUGUAGCGGUG
rnacentral:rRNA from 1 species